rnacentral:misc_RNA from 1 species
UCUCCGUAGGUGAACCUGCGGAGGGAUCAUUACCGAGCUCAUGCCCUUACGGGUAGAUCUCCCACCCUGUGUUAUUAUUACCUUUGUUGCUUUGGCGGGCCGCCAGGCUCCGGUCAGGCUAUCGGCUUCGGCUGGUAAGCGCCCGCCAGAGGACCCUAUAUCCUGAUUAUUAGUGUCGUCUGAGUACUAUAUAAUAGUUAAAACUUUCAACAACGGAUCUCUCGGUUCUG